UACGUAGGGGGCUAGCGUUGUCCGGAUUUAUUGGGCGUAAAGAGCGUGUAGGCGGCCAGGUAGGUCUGCUGUGAAAACUCGAGGCUCAACCUCGAGACGUCGGCGGAAACCAUCUGGCUAGAGUCCGGAAGAGGAGAGUGGAGUUCCUGGUGUAGCGGUGAAAUGCGCAGAUAUCAGGAAGAACACCCGUGGCGAAGGCGGCUCUCUGGGACGGUACUGACGCUGAGACGCGAAAGCGUGGGGAGCAAACAGG
rnacentral:rRNA from 1 species